rnacentral:rRNA from 1 species
UACAGAGGGUGCGAGCGUUAAUCGGAAUUACUGGGCGUAAAGCGCGCGUAGGCGGCUUUUCAAGUCGAUUGUGAAAUCCCCGGGCUUAACCUGGGAACCGCAGUCGAGACUGUCUAGCUAGAGUAUGGGAGAGGGAAGUGGAAUUUCAGGUGUAGCGGUGAAAUGCGUAGAUAUCUGAAGGAACAUCAGUGGCGAAAGCGACUUCCUGGACCAAUACUGACGCUCAUGUGCGAAAGCGUGGGGAGCAAACAGG